CCUACGGGAGGCAGCAGUGAGGAAUAUUGGGCAAUGGAGGCAACUCUGACCCAGCCAUGCCGCGUGCAGGAUGACGGUCCUUUGGAUUGUAAACUGCUUUUAUUUGGGAAUAAACCCUUCUACGUGUAGAAGGCUGAAUGUACCAUUUGAAUAAGCACCGGCUAACUCCGUGCCAGCAGCCGCGGUAAU
rnacentral:rRNA from 1 species